rnacentral:misc_RNA from 1 species
UCGAUGUAUGUUUAUUGUCGGAUGAUAUGGUUGCGUGAUUUACACUAGASRUACAUCGAUCUAUAUGGCGCUUAUCGAUGUAUGGCUUGUGUGGGGCGAGAGGCACAACGUGGAACUGUAAAAGGAUCUGCAAGGGUUUCCCAAACCACACAAGCCAUACAUCGGUUGUAAGUCGGAUGUCGCUUAUCGAUGUAUGGCUUGUGUGGGGCGUGAAGCACAGCGUAGAACUGUAAAAGGAUCUGCAAGGGUUUCCCAAACCACACAAGCCAUGCAUCGGUUGUAAGUCGCAAAACAACCACAAUUGUUGUAUUGCUUGGAUGUGUGCGAGAGGCACAACGUGAAUCCGUAAUAGGCCAUGGCGGGUGUCUUUUUAAGCAUCCAAACCAUACAACAUUUGGGGGGGAUUAUUCUAGCGGGUUUCAUUCUCUUCGUAUCGUGC